CCCAACCCCCGCCGCCGCCUGCCCCUCCCUAGACAGGGUGCCUGCUUUGGUCCUCUCUUCCUAACACUCUGGGUGUCUGGUCAAUGGACUGGUUGAUUUGCUUAGCUGUUUAUUAUCCCUAUUUUCUGUCUGCCCCAAGAAGAAUGGAUACCCCUGAGAGCAGGGCCCAUUCUGCAUCCAGAGCACCUAAUUCUGGGCCUGUACUCAAUAAAUAUCUGUGGGAUGCAUGGACGCAUGGACCUAAGCCCCCUACUCCUGGGAGGGCUACAGGGGAAACAUUCAAAAAUGCCCACCUCAAACAGUGACCCACUCUAGGACUCUGUACCUGGUUAAGAGCUGAGGUCUGACGGACAGAUGGCUAGAGAGAGAUGGCUGUGUGAAAAAGCAGAGAAAAAUAACGGUAGAAUGUAUGUAGCGAGUAUGUGGAUGUUCACUGUAAAAUUCUUCCCAUUUUUCUGAAUGUUUGAAAUUUUCAUUAAAAAAAUGUUGAGGGGAAAUAUUUGAGGGCCCCUUCGUGGUCUGGGAAGGGAGGAGGAGAGAGGAUGUGGGGUAACAUUUGUCUCAUUUAUGGAACCUACUGUGGGCAGAGCCCUUUUGCAGGCACUGGGUUAUGGGUAGGCUUGUUACUCAGCGCGCCCGCAUCCACACGGCUGCUCUGGAUGUUAAAACCUAAAAUACUGUCCUACCACUUGGUAAAUACUUGUCAUUUUGAGUCCUCUCCUCUCCCUUCAUCCCAAGACACACUGACCUCCCUCCUGGGAUCCCCAGAGCACCCCACCAUCCAGUGAUGAAAGAAUUCACUCCUGGCACAGCAAGGGGCCUUGGGUCCAUUCUGAUUGGUCGGGGUCUUUGCCACAUUGGUUGUAAAUGUUUUGAACUUUACUCCUGAACUGGAGCAGCCUUGAGCCUGAUCUUCCCCCUGCCAGAGGCCAGGCCAUGGCUUGCUGGCCUCCCGAAUCCUGAGGAUGGCCCAGCCAGAGGACCAGGCCUCGGCAGGCCCCACCUAUGGGGAGAGACUGGAGGAUGGAGCAGGCGAGGCCUGCUUAGGGGUCCUCAGGGCCCCAGAGCCACUUCUUCGGCUGCAGAGGACGAGGGGUGUGUGGCAGAUCCCAGAGCUGGAUGCCCAGGGUGCAGAAGCCCUUCUGGAGCUGUGGCCACCGGGGAGUUUCCUGGUCACAGGACAUGACCCCAGCCAGGUCCUGGUGCUGAGGACAGGACCUUCACCAGGGGAAGUCAACACUUACCAGAUCCAGAAACUUCCUGGAGGUGUGUGUCUGGAAUCCUCUAACCUCUGCAUGCCAGACCUGCCCCAUCUCCUGGCCUUCCUAUCAGCCAGCAGGGAUGUUUUGCCCAGAACUCUGCUCUUGCCCCCUCCUGCUCUAGGGCCUGGGGAACAACACGCAGGGAGGGUGCUCUCCGUGGUGAGCAAGAUCUACCUGGAGACCCACAGAGGCCUGGGGAUGGAGCACACUUCCCCAGAGACACCUCCAGAGACUGCCAAGAAAAAUGAUCCAGCCCCCAGGAACCCUGCCCCUCAUCGGGUCUCUUGGGUAGAAGGCCCACUCAGCUCAGAAGUACACCAUUCUGGGCCAGCUCUGGCCAGCCUGGGGGAGGAGGAGGAGGAGGAGGAGGAGGAGGAGGAGACGACUGGCGACUACAAAGAUGAAGAGGAAGAACCUGAGGAUGUGCUUACUAGUCAUGUCCAGGCUCUGGCCAGGUCCAGAAGCAGCUACGUGGCCAGACAGUUCCGAGGCCUCAAGGCACGCCUCACCUCAGACGCUGGGGGCCCCCACAGGCCCGGGGACCCCGCCACCGAGCUGCUUCAGGAUGUGCGGCACCUCCUUACUGACCUCCAGGAUCACUUAGCAAAGGACCCCAGUAUCAGGGCUUUCUUGCGGAGCAGGGGUCCUGGGGUCCCCCAGAAGGACGAGGAUCUUGGCCCCGCAGUGGAGGCGGCCUUGUGCCGCGUGGUACUGGCGCCUCUGAAGCCGGCCCUGUGGGCACGACUCCGAACGCUCCGCGCCCCAGAGCUGCGGCGACUGCGGCGGCGACAGAUAGCUCUGCGGGCAGGGGCUGGGCCUCCCGGACCUCAGGGGGCGGGGCCUGAGGGACAAGGCCCCGCCCUGCGCAGCCGCAUCCACUCGCGCCUUGCGCACCUCCACGCCGCUUGCGCCCCACGCCGCAAGGUGGCGUUGCUGCUGGCGGUGUGCAGUGAUGUCUACGCGGGGCUGGCUUCGGGCAAGAACGAAGGUAAAGGAGGAGUCUGCAUCUACCUGGAUGUGGAGCGGCCUUGAGGGUUGCGGGAGCCAGAGCCCCUGGGCGCCGACGCCUUCCUCCCAGCGUUGACCGAGGAGCUUAUCUGGAGUCCGAACAUUGGGGAGACACAGCUGGACGUGGAGUUUCUUAUGGAGCUCUUGGAUCCGGAAGAGCUACUGGGAGAAGCUGGGUACUACCUGACCACGUGGUUUGGGGCACUGCACCACAUUGCCAACUACCAGCCCGACGCCGGACGUGCGCCAAAGGGGCUCAGCUCUGAGGCCCGUGCCUCCUUGCGCCAGUGGCACCGCAGGCGGACGCUGCACAGACAGGGCCUCACCAGAUCCCAGGUGACCAGCCAGUUGGACUGUGGGUAGAGAGGUGGGCUGGCCCUGUUGCCUUUCUGACACGAGGCUGCUGCCUGCCCCCUCAGGCUAACCUGCCUUUGGAGGAUCCCUGGGGAAUAGAGACUGUGUCAAGAGACCAAUGAUGAAUAGGGGUCUCAAACCUCUCUGUUCUUCAAGCAAGGUGCAGAGGCACCUGUUACUUAGCCGCAGCAAGGAGGAGGAGGUCCCAGGAAAAGGGAAUGGCCCACCUCUGGGCCUUUGCAUUGGCUGUUCCUGCUUCUUGGAAUGCCCUUCCCUAAUAUCCACACUGCUCACUCCCUCCCUUCUUUCAGAUUUUUAGACACGUUUCAUAGUCUCAGUGAGGCUCUCUCAGACACAACUGUGUAAGACUGUAAUUCCUCUCCUUUGACCUUCCCUGUGGAAGGCAGAAUAAUGCAUCCCACCCCCCAUGUCCACUUCCUAAUCCCCAGAUUCUGUGACUAUGUUACUUCAUGUGGUAAAGGAGACUUCACAGAUGCAAUUAAAUUAAGGAUCUUAAAAUGGGGAGGUUAUCCUGGAUUCCAGUGGACCCAGUGUAAUCACAGGGGCCUUGUAAGAGGGAGGCAGGAGGGUCAGAGUCAGAAGAAGAGCUACAACGAUGCGAGCAGGGACUGGAAUGAGGGCUGGGAGCCAAAGCAGGCGGGCACCCUCCAGGAGCUGAAAAAGACAAAGAAUGUGUUUUCCCCUGGAAUCUCCAGCAGAAACUCAGCCUUUAAUUUUAGAUCCCUAAGGUAUAUUUUGGACUUCUGACUUUCAGAACUGCAAGAUAAUAAAUUGGGGGGGGGGGUGCGGUUUAAGCCAUGAAGUUUGUGGUAAUUUGUUACAGCAGCACCAGGAAACUAAUACACUCCCUUACCCUAAUCUUUCUUUUCAUAGAAGUUAUCACCUCCUAAUAUACCAUAUAAUAUGCUUAUUUAUUAUGUUAAUUGUCCAUAGUCUCCCCCCCUUAGAAUAGCUCCAUCCAAUAGGAAUACAAUGCAAGCUACACAUGUUAAUUCUAAAUAUUCUAGUAGCUAGAUUUAAAAAAAAAUGAAAAAGGAACAAGUGAAGUUAACUUUAAUAACAUUUGAUUUAACCCAAUAUAUCCCAAAUAUUAUUACUUAAUAUGUAAUCAAUACUUUUAAAUUAUUGAGAUAUUUACCAUUCUUCAUGUGUAUGUGCUCAAUCUCCAAGAUCCACUGUGCAAAUCAUACUUCAGCACACCUCAGUUCAGACCAGCCACAUUUCAAAUGCUCAGUGAAUGUAUUAGGGCUCGUGGCUACUAUUUUGGACAGUGCAGCCUUAGAAUGUCAGCUCAAAGAGGCUAGGCAUCUCUGUUUGGUUCAUAGCUGAAUCCUCAGUGCCUAACAAAUGCCUAGCACACAGUAGGUAUUCAAUAAAUACUUGCUGAAUGAUCCAACAAACAAAGUUUCUGGGGUAAACUGAAACGGGCUUCCCAAAAGGUAUCUGUGUCCUAAUCUCUAGAAUCCAUGAUUGUUACCUUAUUUGGAAAAGGGCCUCUGCAGAUGUUGUUAAAUUAAGGAUCUUAAAAUGGGGAUUAUCCAGGGGGGCUCUUGGGCAGUCAUGUGUAUCCUCAUAAAAAGGAGGCAGAUAGAUUUGACCCAAGUAGGAAAAAGCAACGUGAAGACAGAGCAUAGAAUCGAAGACAAUGGCCCUGAGGUGACGUAGCCUGAAGCCACCAGGAAUGCUGACAGCCACCAGGAACUGGACAAGGCCAGCGCAGUUCUCCCUCAGAGCCUCUGAGCCGCCAGAAGGGGGCCCCACUUACCCCUGGAUUUAGCCUGGUGAACUGUUUUCAGGCUUGCAGUCUUCAAACUGUAGUAGAAUAAAUAUCUAUUGUUUUCAGGCAACAAGUUUUUAGUCAUUUGUUACCGCAGGCAAUAACAAUGCAACAGUUUCUCAGCUCUUAACAUAAAAAAUGAGUAGAAUUAAUAUCCAAUUCAGUCUCACUGUAACAAGGGACAUUCAUCUACAUAGACAGUAAUUAAAUAAAAAAACAGGAAUGUCACCAGACAAGGACUGGGCCUGGAGUAGGUCUGCUUCAGGCCAGUCAGUGUGUGUGGGUUCUUGACUUCUUGCAGGAAAGAGCUCCGAACACGAGUCCAGGCGAUUUUGAGUAUGUUUGAGUAUGU